UUUACUAUUAAAUAUUAAUUAGACGAUAAUGCGUUGCAAGCUAUUUUAUCACGUUUUAUCACUUUAUCUUUUGCAGUUUUUUUUUCUUUUUUCUUUUCGUAAUGCGUCUUUUCGGGACGCCGGUUGCGCCAAUCGUGUUGCGCAGCUGCGUCGCGCACGCGUGAGACACGGGCGCGCCAAUCCGAGUUCGACUCUCGAUCUCACGCGAUGUAUGGAUCGAUGCGUGAAGAAGCCGGGUAUUCCGUCCUGCCGCACGUUUUACAUUUGCAAUGUCAUGGUGAGUUCGCGAGGCGUAAUUCGCGCUCGCAAAAAAAUCGCGCGCGAAGUUUAUUUCGUUUCGAUAUACGUACGGUCUUAUAUAUACCUACUGCGCGGACGAUAAUCCGCGUCUCGCGUUACGACAUCUGGUUCACAGGCCGGUAUUGAAGAACAUCGAAUUUGCGCAAAUUGCGCUCAAAUUGAACGCUGAAAUUACAUCGCGGAAAUGAGGCUGUGACGUAAGUCACGCGAAACGAACGAAUGUCGAUGAUAAUUUGAAAAAAUUGCAUCGUUACACCGUUCUGCGAUCAAACGAUAAAACUAACAAUAAGUACGACAUUUUGAAAACAAGUUUGUCUUUCUUAAAAAUGGUUUUGACGCUCGAAUUCUACGGGCUUUUUUUAGCUGAACUCUUCCGCAUGGUUACGUUCCUUUUUUUUCUUUUCACGAUACAGCAAAAAUAAAAAUAAAGAUGUGUGAUAAACAA